rnacentral:rRNA from 1 species
UACGGAGGAUGCGAGCGUUAUCCGGAUUUAUUGGGUUUAAAGGGUGCGCAGGCGGAGGUGCAAGUCAGCGGUCAAAUUGCGGGGCUCAACCCCGGCCGGCCGUUGAAACUGGCGUGCUCGAGUUGGAGAGAAGUAUGCGGAAUGCGUGGUGUAGCGGUGAAAUGCAUAGAUAUCACGCAGAACCCCGAUUGCGAAGGCAGCCUGCCGGCCCCACACUGACGCUGAGGCACGAAAGCGUGGGUAUCGAACAGG